rnacentral:rRNA from 1 species
UACGAAGGGUGCAACCGUUGCUCGGAAUCACUGGGCGUAAAGGGCGCGUAGGCGGGAUGGCAAGUCGGUCGUGAAAUCCUUCGGCUCAACCGAAGAACGUCGGCCGAUACUGCCGUUCUUGAGGGAUGCAGAGGAGAUUGGAAUUCCCGGUGUAGCGGUGAAAUGUGUAGAGAUCGGGAGGAACACCGGUGGCGAAGGCGGGUCUCUGGGCAUCUCCUGACGCUGAGGCGCGAAAGCGUGGGGAGCAAACGGG